AUUGAACGCUGGCGGCAUGCUUUACACAUGCAAGUCGAACGGCAGCGCGGGCUUCGGCCUGGCGGCGAGUGGCGAACGGGUGAGUAAUACAUCGGAACGUGCCCAGUAGUUGGGGAUAGCUCGGCGAAAGCCGGAUUAAUACCGCAUACGACCUGAGUGUGAAAGCGGGGGAUCUUCGGACCUCGCGCUAUUGGAGCGGCCGAUGGCAGAUUAGCUAGUUGGUGGGGUAAAGGCCUACCAAGGCGACGAUCUGUAGCUGGUCUGAGAGGACGACCAGCCACACUGGGACUGAGACACGGCCCAGACUCCUACGGGAGGCAGCAGUGGGGAAUUUUGGACAAUGGGCGAAAGCCUGAUCCAGCAAUGCCGCGUGCGUGAUGAAGGCCUUCGGGUUGUAAAGCACUUUUGGCGGGAACGAAAAGGACUGUGCCAAUACCACGGUUCGAUGACGGUACCCGCAGAAUAAGCACCGGCUAACUACGUG
rnacentral:rRNA from 1 species